rnacentral:rRNA from 1 species
AGAGUUUGAUCCUGGCUCAGGAUGAACGCUAGCUACAGGCUUAACACAUGCAAGUCGAGGGGCAGCAUGAUCGAAGCUUGCUUUGAUUGAUGGCGACCGGCGCACGGGUGAGUAACGCGUAUCCAACCUUCCCUAUAGUAGAGAAUAGCCCGGCGAAAGUCGGAUUAAUGCUCUAUGUUGUAUUUAGAAGACAUCUGAAGAAUACCAAAGGUUUACCGCUAUAGGAUGGGGAUGCGUCUGAUUAGGUAGUAGGCGGGGUAACGGCCCACCUAGCCGACGAUCAGUAGGGGUUCUGAGAGGAAGGUCCCCCACAUUGGAACUGAGACACGGUCCAAACUCCUACGGGAGGCAGCAGUGAGGAAUAUUGGUCAAUGGACGGAAGUCUGAACCAGCCAAGUAGCGUGCAGGAUGACGGCCCUAUGGGUUGUAAACUGCUUUUAUAUAGGGAUAAAGUCGGGGACGUGUCCCCGUUUGUAGGUACUAUAUGAAUAAGGACCGGCUAAUUCCGUGCCAGCAGCCGCGGUAAUACGGAAGGUCCAGGCGUUAUCCGGAUUUAUUGGGUUUAAAGGGAGCGCAGGCUGAUGAUUAAGCGUGACGUGAAAUGUAGCCGCUCAACGGCUGAACUGCGUCGCGAACUGGUUAUCUUGAGUGAGUUCGAUGUUGGCGGAAUUCGUGGUGUAGCGGUGAAAUGCUUAGAUACCACGAAGAACUCCGAUUGCGAAGGCAGCCAACAAGGCCUUUACUGACGCUAAAGCUCGAAGGUGCGGGUAUCGAACAGGAUUAGAUACCCUGGUAGUCCGCACGGUAAACGAUGGAUGCCCGCUGUUUGCGAUAUACUGUGAGCGGCCAAGAGAAAUCGUUAAGCAUCCCACCUGGGGAGUACGCCGGCAACGGUGAAACUCAAAGGAAUUGACGGGGGGCCCGCACAAGCGGAGG